GACGAACGCUGGCGGCGUGCCUAACACAUGCAAGUCGAACGGUCCGGCACUCAACCGACCCUCAGUCUAACUGUAGGGGAAGUUAAGUGCCGGAUAGUGGCGGACGGGUGAGUAACGCGUGGGCAACCAACCCUGUACAGUGGGAUAACACCGGGAAACCGGUGCUAAUACCGCAUGACACCUAGAUGGUGCAUACUGUUUAGGUUAAAGGGCAAAAACCGGUACGGGACGGGCCCGCGUCCCAUUAGCUGGUUGGUGAGAUAACGGCUCACCAAGGCGACGAUGGGUAGCCGACCUGAGAGGGUGGCCGGCCACACUGGGACUGAGACACGGCCCAGACUCCUACGGGAGGCAGCAGUGGGGAAUAUUGCGCAAUGGACGGAAGUCUGACGCAGCGACGCCGCGUGAGCGACGAAGGCCUUCGGGUCGUAAAGCUCUGUUCUUGGGGACGAAUAAAAUGACGGUACCCAAGGAGAAAGCCCCGGUAACUACGUG
rnacentral:rRNA from 1 species